rnacentral:rRNA from 1 species
GAUGAACGCUGGCGGCGUGCCUAAUACAUGCAAGUCGAGCGAACGGACGAGAAGCUUGCUUCUCUGAUGUUAGCGGCGGACGGGUGAGUAACACGUGGAUAACCUACCUAUAAGACUGGGAUAACUUCGGGAAACCGGAGCUAAUACCGGAUAAUAUUUUGAACCGCAUGGUUCAAAAGUGAAAGACGGUCUUGCUGUCACUUAUAGAUGGAUCCGCGCUGCAUUAGCUAGUUGGUAAGGUAACGGCUUACCAAGGCAACGAUGCAUAGCCGACCUGAGAGGGUGAUCGGCCACACUGGAACUGAGACACGGUCCAGACUCCUACGGGAGGCAGCAGUAGGGAAUCUUCCGCAAUGGGCGAAAGCCUGACGGAGCAACGCCGCGUGAGUGAUGAAGGUCUUCGGAUCGUAAAACUCUGUUAUUAGGGAAGAACAUAUAUGUAAGUAACUGUGCACAUCUUGACGGUACCUAAUCAGAAAGCCACGGCUAACUACGUGCCAGCAGCCGCGGUAAUACGUAGGUGGCAAGCGUUAUCCGGAAUUAUUGGGCGUAAAGCGCGCGUAGGCGGUUUUUUAAGUCUGAUGUGAAAGCCCACGGCUCAACCGUGGAGGGUCAUUGGAAACUGGAAAACUUGAGUGCAGAAGAGGAAAGUGGAAUUCCAUGUGUAGCGGUGAAAUGCGCAGAGAUAUGGAGGAACACCAGUGGCGAAGGCGACUUUCUGGUCUGUAACUGACGCUGAUGUGCGAAAGCGUGGGGAUCAAACAGGAUUAGAUACCCUGGUAGUCCACGCCGUAAACGAUGAGUGCUAAGUGUUAGGGGGUUUCCGCCCCUUAGUGCUGCAGCUAACGCAUUAAGCACUCCGCCUGGGGAGUACGACCGCAAGGUUGAAACUCAAAGGAAUUGACGGGGGCCCGCACAAGCGGUGGAGCAUGUGGUUUAAUUCGAAGCAACGCGAAGAACCUUACCAAAUCUUGACAUCCUUUGACAACUCUAGAGAUAGAGCUUUCCCCUUCGGGGGACAAAGUGACAGGUGGUGCAUGGUUGUCGUCAGCUCGUGUCGUGAGAUGUUGGGUUAAGUCCCGCAACGAGCGCAACCCUUAAGCUUAGUUGCCAUCAUUAAGUUGGGCACUCUAAGUUGACUGCCGGUGACAAACCGGAGGAAGGUGGGGAUGACGUCAAAUCAUCAUGCCCCUUAUGAUUUGGGCUACACACGUGCUACAAUGGACAAUACAAAGGGCAGCGAAACCGCGAGGUCAAGCAAAUCCCAUAAAGUUGUUCUCAGUUCGGAUUGUAGUCUGCAACUCGACUACAUGAAGCUGGAAUCGCUAGUAAUCGUAGAUCAGCAUGCUACGGUGAAUACGUUCCCGGGUCU